CAGCAGCCGCGGGAACACGGAGGAUCCAAGCGUUAUCCGGAAUCAUUGGGUUUAAAGGGUCCGUAGGCGGUCUUGUAAGUCAGUGGUGAAAGCCCAUCGCUCAACGGUGGAACGGCCAUUGAUACUGCAGGACUUGAAUUAUUGGGAAGUAACUAGAAUAUGUAGUGUAGCGGUGAAAUGCUUAGAGAUUACAUGGAAUACCAAUUGCGAAGGCAGGUUACUACCAAUUGAUUGACGCUGAUGGACGAAAGCGUGGGUAGCGAACAGGAUUAGAUACCCCCGUAGUCCCUGUCUCUUAUAA
rnacentral:rRNA from 1 species